rnacentral:rRNA from 1 species
UACGAAGGGGGCUAGCGUUGUUCGGAUUUACUGGGCGUAAAGCGCACGUAGGCGGAUUGUUAAGUCAGGGGUGAAAUCCUGGAGCUCAACUCCAGAACUGCCUUUGAUACUGAGGAGCUUGAGUCCGGGAGAGGUGAGUGGAACUGCGAGUGUAGAGGUGAAAUUCGUAGAUAUUCGCAAGAACACCAGUGGCGAAGGCGGCUCACUGGCCCGGUACUGACGCUGAGGUGCGAAAGCGUGGGGAGCAAACAGG